UACGAAGGGGGCUAGCGUUGCUCGGAAUCACUGGGCGUAAAGCGCACGUAGGCGGCUUUCUAAGUCAGGGGUGAAAUCCUGGAGCUCAACUCCAGAACUGCCCUUGAUACUGGAAAGCUUGAGUUCGGGAGAGGUGAGUGGAACUGCGAGUGUAGAGGUGAAAUUCGUAGAUAUUCGCAAGAACACCAGUGGCGAAGGCGGCUCACUGGCCCGAUACUGACGCUGAGGCACGAAAGCGUGGGGAGCAAACAGG
rnacentral:rRNA from 1 species